ACAAUAAAUACCUUACAGAGGUCUCGUUAACCGAGAUCUCUCAAACGGAAUGAGUACAACGUGAAUCCUUUAACGAGGAUCGACUGGAGGGCAAGCCUGGUGCCAGCAGCCGCGGUAAUUCCAGCUCCAGUAGCGUAUAUUAAAGCUGUUGCGGUUAAAAAGCUCGUAGUUGGAUAUCAGUGCGUGUCCGGAUCGGUAUGCCCGACACUGUCGUUAACGCGGCAGCCGUCGGGCUCCCAAAUAUCGGCUGGCCGCAUUCAAUCGUGCCGGAUCCGUCGACGGGCCGUUCUUCGGAGGGGCCUGUUGGCGACCGGCGACGUUACCUUGAACAAAUUAGAGUGCUCAAAGCAGGCUCAUAAUGCCUGUAUACAUAUUCAUGGAAUUGGAGAAUACGUCCCUGGCUCGAUUUGGUUGGUUUUGAGAGUCGAAGGGAAAUGAUUAAUAGGGACUGACGGAGGCAUUCGUAUUGCGACGCGAGGGGUGAAAUCCUGUGACCGUCGCACGACGAACUACUGCGAAAGCAUUUGCCGAGAAUGUUUUCAUUAGUCAAGAACGAAAGUUAGAGGUUCGAAGGCGAUCAGAUACCGCCCUAGUUCUAACCGUAAACGAUGUCGACCAGCAAUCCGCAACGGUCACUACACGGACUGUGCGGGCAGCUUCCCCGGGGAAACCAGAGUGUAUGGACUCCGGGGGAAGUAUGGUUGCAAAGCUGAAACUUAAAGGAAUUGACGGAAGGGCACCACCAGGAGUGGAGCUUGCGGCUUAAUUUGACUCAACACGGGACAACUCACCAGGCCCGGACACCGUAAGGAUUGACAGACUGAUAGCUCUCUCUUGAUUCAGUGGGUGGUGGUGCAUGGCCGUUCUUAGUUGGUGGAGUGAUUUGUCUGGUUUAUUCCGAUAACGAACGAGACUCUGGCCUAUUAAACUUGAUGUCGUUAGUCCUUCUGUGACUACGGCACGCUUCUUAGAGGGAUCAUCGGCGUCCCAGCCGAAGGAAAUGGAGCAAUAACAGGUCUGUGAUGCCCUUAGAUGUUCUGGGCUGCACGCGUGUUACACUGAAGUGGUCAGCGCGCCGUUCAACGUCCCUCUCCGUGAGGAGCGGGCAAACGUUUGAACCCUUUUCGUGAUGGGAAUUGGGGGUUGCAAUUGUCCCCCAUGAACGAGGAAUUCCAAGUAAGCGCAGGUCACUAGCCUGCGUUGAUUAAGUCCCUGCCCUUUGUACACACCGCCCGUCGCUACUACCGAUGGAUGAUUUGGUGAGGUCGCCUAGACUGGCCGCUGGCUUCGGCCGUGCGGCCGGGAAGACGCCCAAACUUGGUCGUCUAGA
rnacentral:rRNA from 1 species